AUGCAAAGUUGAGAUUUAUUUAUACCAAAGGCUUCCAAACUCUGAUUCUGAAUGGCUUAAGAAGAUUGUCCGCAACAAAGUAGUAGCAAGUGUUGAUGCUCUUCUCAAUGAAAUAAAACCAUGCUCGCCGCCAGUCUGGGUUUAUGUACAAAACUGCAGCUAUUCCCAACAGCACCAUGAUGUACGUCACAACAAAGCUCACACAGAAAACUUGUGCAUCAAUGAUGACGCUACUCUCUUCUUUCUCAUCAGUAGAAGGCCCAGGUGGUGGUGGUGGUACUUCUUUGGUGCAAUUGUUAAGCAGUGGUGGUCCACAAAGUAAGGGAUUUCCCUCGUAGCUGCUCUUAUUGAAUGUUGAGAAUUGUGCAACCAUCUCAGGAGUCUUACCAGACAGGUUAUUGUUGGCUACACUAAAAUAGGCAAGAAAAUGCAAUUGUACAAGUUGAGGAGGGAUUUCCCCAUUCAAGCUGUUAUUGGAAAGGUCCAUGCUCUCAACUUCACUCAAAUUUGAAAGAGUUUGUGGGAUUGGGCCUAUUAAAUGAUUGUUGGACAGGUUCAAUACACGAAUGUGGUUGAGAUUCCCAAUUUCAGGAGGAAUCGCACCUGACAAACUGUUGCAGGAGAGAUCCAAUCCGGUCAUGUAGUACAAAAUACUUGGCGGAUAAGAAUAAGACAGACUCUUUGUUGCAAUAACCAAUGGUUCUCGAAGAGAAUACAUAAAGAUAUGCUUCGCUAGAGAUGAACCAAAUACUGCUUUUAAAUCUUAGGCAAGGUAGAAUAUGACCAGAAAAAUUAUUAUGAGAAAGAUCAAUGAAGCUUAAUUUGUUCAACUUGCACAAUUGCGUGGGUAUACUGCCAUCAAGAUUAUUAUAACCCAAGAGAAGAAAGCUCAGUUGGGAAAACUCACCAAUCCAUUUUGGAAUGCUACCAGUCAAAUGAUUAUGGCUAAGAUCCAACGUUAUUAGCUCAAAGGAUUUCUGAAAUGCAUGUUCUAGGGAUCCUUGUAGCAUAUUUCGUGACAGAUAAACAUGCAGGAGGUUUGAAGAGUUAAAGAAAGAUGGUAAGGUUCCAGAGAUGUUGUUAUUUGAGAGGUCCAAAACUUGAAGAUACAACAGAAAGUCAAAUGAAGAGGGAACGCGACCACUGAAGUGGUUAUCAGACAUGGAUAAAAAUGUUAAAUUUGGAAAAUAUGAUCCUAUUUCUCUAGGAAUGUGGCUUUCGAAGUUAUUGUUAGAAAUAUCUAAUUCAGACAAAUUCUGAUGAGGAUGAAUUGGCAAUUGAAAAGUCCCUGAAAGAGAAUUGUUGACCAAAUGGAGUUCAUUUAGGUUUGUGUUGUUCUCUAACAACCAAAUAGGAAACCCUCCCCUCAAUUUCAGGUUAGAAAAAUCAAUUACUUGGAGGCUGUAUUGAUGGAGGAGGAAUUUGGGAAAGGAAAAUGCUCCACCAUAUCCAUUGCCAGAUAAAUAAGACCUCUAAUUGGAACUUUGGGGCCAAAUUAUGCUCCUCUAAUUCUUCAACAUAUAUUUCGUUAUUGCUACCAUCGAAAUACUUGAGUUGUGAAUGGUUGAGAAAUGAGCUCAAUGAGACGGGGAUCUGAAAGUGGUUGUCUAAAAGUGAUAACUCUCGAAUGGAUGUGAGACUUGUAAGAGGAGAGAAGGAAAUGUCUCCCAUAAAGUUAUUGGAAGACAAAUUUAAUUGUUGAAGGGAUGUCAAAUUUGCCAAACACCAAGGCAAAGCACCACUGAGAUCAUUCCCGUUGAUAUCUAGAUUUUGAAGAUGCUUUAACUGACAUAGGCCUGAGAAUUUAUUGAUUCAUAAAAAUUUUAGUUAGAGAAGAAGCAGAACGCCAAAGGAGGGGAAAGGUGGUCAGACUUACCUUGGGCUUUAGGGAUGGAGCCAUUGAGUCGACAACCAUACAAUCUUAAACUCUUUAGAGUAGUAAUAUUCCCGACUGUUUGUAGAAAGCUAUUAUCGAUAGUGGAGGAACUCAAAUCCAACUCUUCUAAAUUCUUGAGAGAAGCCAAGUCUACAAUAAUCAAACCCACAAGAAAUUAUGCUCGGUAUUCAAGAGCCGGAUAAUGAUAAGGAAACAAAGAUGAUGAAACCAACAAGAAGCUCCAUUAUAAUGAUAAGGAAACAAGAUGAUGAAACCAACAAGAAGCAGAACGCCCAAGGAGGGUAAAGGUGGUUAGACUUACCUUGGGCUUUAGGGGUGGAGCCACUGAGUCGACAUCCAUCCAAUCUUAAACUCUUUAGAGUAGUAAUCUUCCCGACUGUUUGCAGAAAGCUAUUAUCGACAGUGGAGGAACUCAAAUCCAACUCUUCUAAAUUCUUGAAAGAAGCCAAGUCUACAAUAAUCAAACCCACAAGAAAUUAUGCUCGGUAUUCAAGAGCCGGAUAAUGAUAAGGAAACAAGAUGAUGAAACCAAUAAGAAGCUCCAUUAUAAUGUCCCCACUACAAUCAAUUAAAUUCCUAUACUAGGCAAAUAUGAUUUAAAGCACGUUUACAAAGAAAAAAAGAACAAUUAACAGAUAUUCAGGUUCGCUUUUAGGCAUCAAUACCACAAAUUACCUUUAUCUAAUGUUGUUCCGAAACUUCCUUGAAGAUUAUUCUCAUCCAAAGAAAGGGUCUUGAGGUUUGGGAAUUUCGUCAACGAUUGCAGCAAUGCAAAUGGAAGAGCUCUUCCAUUUAAGGUGUUAUUAGAUAAUGAAAUGAGGCUUACAUUUCCAAAACCUCUAGUAUCUACAGGGGACAGCAGAAGUAAAACAAAUUUUAAAACCUUCUGAGCUUUUAUUCUUGAGCAAAAUCAUCCGCGAAAAUACAAUUCAAUUAAUGAGAUUUUAGGUUGAUUAAGCGGUAAAGCUACCAUCAAUCAGUGUGGAAAGCAAUCAAUACCUUUGGAUAACAUAAAUUUGUCAAUCUUGUUUCCCGCUAGAUCCAGGCUCUCUAAGUUGAUCAAAGCAUCCAGCUCUAGGUUGUCGAAAAACAGAAAUUUAAUAUUACAUCACAGCAAAAAUCACAGAUUGGUUUCUAGGAAUCGAAAAAGGUGAGGUUACCAGUCACAUUGAAUGAUCCUUUCAGUUGGUUGUACCCUAUAUCCAGGGAUUUGAGAGAUGAAAGACCCUUGAGGGAUGAUAAGGUACUGUCAUUGAAGCGAUUACCAUUCAAAACAAGGUAUUCCAGAUUUCUUAACCUCAGUAAGCCGUCACCAGUACCUAUAAAAAUACAAUAAGCUUUCAUGUAACCUGAAAGGAUAAUGGAGUACUUAUGUGUGAAAACAAAUGCUCAAUCAACUCACAACUCUUUCAUACCAUGAAUGGAUUUAAAGCUUUCAAUUUCAUUGCCACCAAAAUCCAACGACUGCAAGCUUGUUAGAUUAUUCAGUUCUGGCCAAAUAUAAUUGUAUCAAGUACAACAAUUAAAAAAAGGGCAGUAAUUAACAUUGUUUUAUUUGGGAAAGAAAAGGAGAGAAGUGAUCAAGCUUAAUUACCAUCAACACUAAUUGCUCCUUUGAGUUGGUUACCAGAUAGAGACAGGGUUCUCAAAGAGGAAAGCCCACCAAGGGAUGAAAGGAUGCUGUUGUCGAAUUUGUUUCCGCCUAAAUCGAGAUCCUCCAAGCUGUCAAGUCUUUCAAAACCUGCAUGGGCAUUUCAAUCAGUAGCUUGAAAAAUAUAGAAUCUAUCCUGUUGAAAAACCUGCAUGGGCACGCAAACAAGAGAUAAACCUUCAUUCUCAACACAGCCAACUAUAAAAUUUCCAGUACCUAUAAAAAUGCCAUAAGCUUUCAUGUAACCUGAAAGGAUAAUGGAGUACUUAUGUGUGAAAACAAAUGCUCAAUCAACUCACAACUCUUUCAUACCAUGAAUGGAUUUAAAGCUUUCAAUUUCAUUGCCACCAAAAUCCAACGACCACAAGCUUGUUAGAUUAUUCAGUUCUGGCCAAAUAUAAUUGUACCAAGUACAACAAUUAAAAAAAGGGCAGUAAUUAACAUGGUUUUAUUUGAGAAAGAAAAGGAGAGAAGUGAUCAAGCUUAAUUACCAUCAACACUAAUUGCUCCUUUGAGUUGGUUACGAUAUAGAGACAGGGUUCUUAAAGAGGAAAGCCCACCAAGGGAUGAAAGGAUGCUGUUGUCGAAUUUGUUUUCUUCUAAAUAGAGCUCCACCAAGCUGUCAAGUCCGGAUAGUCUUUCAAAACCUGCAUGGGCAUUUCAAUCAGUAGCUUGAAAAAUAUUUUCUUUUUUUUACCUAUUGAAAAAAGUAGCACGCAAACAAGAGAUAAACCUUCAUUCUCAACACAGCCAACUAUAAAAUUUCCCCUUAAAUAAAGAGAUUGCAGUUCUUGGAAGGGACGAAACAAAGAGACAUUUAGGUACAAAUCUCCCAAUCCCUCUUCCCUUAUGCCUCCAAGACUAAGUUCGACAACUCGUCCUGUAGUGAAAUUGCAGUAAACGCGUUCCCAAGAACAACAGUCGGCUACUUUCCCCCAAGAUUGAAGGAAGAUUGAGUAAUUAUUAAAGGAGCUUUGAAUCCGCAAGAGAGCACUUCUCUCUUCGUCUAAACAACCGUGACAUGACCACCAGCUUUGUGACAAAACCAUAGCAUAAAUCAUCAGUGUCCCUGCUAAAGAAGAGAACCUGUUUAAACCCAUUUGGACUCCUCGAUGAAAUUAUGUAUCGAAAAACAACGGUCAGAGGCUCUUUAUAAAUAAGAUCGUUGGACUGCAAUUUGCAAUAUCACAAUCAAAUGUCAUAAUUUUCCACUGGCCAUAGACAAAGUCCUCUCUUUCGGCUUAUUUUCCAAAUUCAUAUUCUUCGUGGAAAGUGCUAGGCUGUUAGCGUAUCCUCCGUAACUUGGGACUAGGCUGGUAUGAGGUUGGAAGGAUUUUAAACAAGUUGCUAUUUUAACUUUAAUUUAAUAAUAAAUAAUAAAUAUGAUGGGUACAAAGGGGAGAAUAUACAUGAUAAACUUUUUUUGUUUUCUACAAUAAUAGCGACAUAGACAAAUGAAAUGGUCAUCGCAUGCAAUGUCUUCCCUACGGAAAAAACAGUGCCAUCAGUGUCAGUCUUGUUAAUGGUAGUAGAAAAUUCAAAGAGUCUUGCAGUGAAGAUUUUUAAUCAUUUAGGUUUCACUAAUCGUUUUUUUAAUCAUAUAUAUAUAUGUAUAUAUAUAUAUAUUUUAUAAACGUUCAGUCUGAAGUAGGUAUUAAAAUAAUAUGAUGUUGAGCCAAAUUGAAUUUAAUAAUAAUAAUAUAAUCACCUAGUUAAUAUUGUAUUUUAAUAUAAAAUGCAUGUUUGAUAUUAUAAUGUAAAUGUUUUUUUACUUAAAAAUAUAUUAAAAUAUUUUUUUAAUUUUUUAUAUUUUCAAUAUUAACUUAUCAAAUAAUAAAAAAACAAUAAAAAUUAAAUUAAUAUAAUUUUGAGUCAAAUUGAAUUUAAUAAUAAUGGUAUAAUUAGUUAAUUAAUAUUGUAUUUUAAUAUAAAAUAAAUAUAUGAUAUUAUGGUGUAUAUAUUUUUUACUUGAAAAUAUAUUAAAAUAUUUUUUAAAAUUUUUAAUAUUAACUUAUCAAAUAGAAUUUUUUUUUUUCAUUUUAACAAGACUGCAACUUUGUCCUUGCAGCGAAGCUCUCCAGUUUGCAAUAUCAUAAUCAUAGUUUUAAAACCCGUACCGGCCCUGCGGGUUGACCCGGGACCCGGCCGACCCGGGCAUGAGACCGGUCCGGGUGGAGGCCAAAACCCGGUUGGGAAUUGGCCCGGCCCUACCUGGUCGACCCGGGACCCAUCAAGACCCGGCCUCAAACUCGUUGAUUUUUAUUUUUUAUUUUUUAUUUUUACUAAAACGACGUCGUUUUGAUUUUUUCAAAGAAAAAAUUUGACCCGGCUGACCCGGUCAAAACCCGGAACCCGGGCCUUGGACCGGACCGACCACCGAGCCGGGUCUUAAAACUAUGAUCAGUCUUAAAACUAUGAUCACAAUCAAUUGUCAUAAUUUUCCAUAGACAAAGUCCUCUCUUUACAGCCCCACCGCGCGACUUGGGACUAGGCUGGUAUGAGGUUGGAAGGAUUUUAAAUAAACAGGGGAAAUUAAAUUCCGGGUGAUUUAACUAGUUGUUGAGCUAGUUAAAAUUCACUGAUAAUUUUUUUUUAAUUAAAAUAAUAUAAUUUUAAUUUAUAAAAAAAAUUAAAGCUGAUUUAGGUCGAUCACAGGCGGGGUUGGAAAUCUGUGAUUGCCUCAACACACUUGAUGGGGAAAAUUGGCCCCCGUUAAUUUCUUUAACAGCUUAAGGAAACCCUCAUAGUUUAGUGUUAGUUUAGUUUAGCCCUUCAUGUUUAUAAUAAAUAGCCCUUCUUGAAAUUGUCCUCUUUUCUAGAUUUAUUAUAUUCCAAAAAUUAAAAAUCCAUAUCAUUUGGCGAAAAUUACAACCCAUUUAUGGCUUAUUUAUGUUUUUAAAUAAUUUUAGAAUUGCAGAAAUUUAGUAUGGAUCUUGCUAAGAUUUUUACCCCUCUAUGAUUUUAUUUUCUUACCAAUUUAAACCCAUAUAAUGGCAAACUAGAAAUAGAUCAUAGAUCUAGGGGAAAAGUUUUAAUAAGUUUUUCAAAAAGGGUAUAUAAAUAAAAUUAUUUAUGUGAUAAUUAAAGUUCUCUCAAUCAAAAAAUUUAUAGAGGGUGGUGACUAUCCCCUCCAAUUCUCCAAACUCACAUUGAACCCACUUAACCCUUGCUUUAUCCAUCAACACCUUUAAAUUUUUUUUUCAAAGACUAUAUCGUAUCUUAUAAAUUGGGUUGUUUUCAAGAGAAACGCACAAAUAAUUCAUUUAAGUUUUAUAUCAGAAUUUUUGUGACCAAUUCCUCUUCUUAUGGCUGGAUAUGAAUGAGUUUGUAUUGUGAUACGAAAACCCGGAACAUAUAGAAAAAAAUAAUGUUUUACGGUAUAUUAUUUUGCGUGUGAAUAUUUUUUUACUUUUUUUGUUUUCUACAAUAAUAGAGAAAUAGACAAAUUAAAUGGUCUUUCUAUGCAAUGUCUUCCCUACGGCAAAGAUAGUGCGCCAUCAAUAUCAGUCUUGUUAGUGGUCGUAGAAAAUGACAUCUCAACAACACAUAAACAAGUUGCUAUUUUAACUUUAAUUUAAUAAUAAAUAAUAAAUAUGAUGGGUACAAAGGGGAGAUAAACUUUUUUUGUUUUCCACAGUAAUAGAGACAUAGACAAAUGAAGUGGUCAUCGCAUGCAAUGUCUUCCCUACGGCAAAAACAGUGCCAUCAGUGUCAGUCUUGUUAAUGGUAGUAGAAAAUUCAAAGAGUCUAGCUACGAGUGAAAUCCUUCGCUUUGUGGACCAAAAGCUGCAGUGAAGAUUUUUAAAAUUUUAGAUGUGUUUAUUUUUUAUAAAGUGAUUUUUGAGAAAUUAUGUUUUUAAAAUUUUUUGUAUUUGUUUGUUAUUAAAAAAGAUGGUCAAUAAAAAAUACUUUCUGGUCAAUAAAAAAUACUUUCCACUUAAAAAAUUUAACUUGAUUUCUAUCAAAGUGUUUUUCUUUUAUUUUGAGUGGAAAACACUUUUUGAAAAUUGUGAAAAAAUUAGAAAUGUCAUAUUAUUUGCUGAUUAUAUCAAAUUUGGUCCUCAAACUUUUAAUUGCUAUAUAUAUUUUGUUUUGAAUAUUUGUUUUUUAAUUUCAUCCCUUAGAAUUUAAUUUUUAUAUUAACUUUGGUCCUCAUUUUUAUAAUUGCUAUUUGAUUUUCCCUUAUCAUUUUUUAAUUAAGGUUUUUCAUCUAUCAAAUUUGGUCCUCAUUCUUUUGAUUGUUACUUAUUCUAUUUGAAAUAAUUUAUGAAAUGUUAAUUAUUAUUAUUUUAAUUUCUUCAUCUUUCAAUUUUUUUUAUUUUUUAGAUUUGAUCUCUAUUAUUUUGAUUAUUAUUUAUUUUAUUUGAGAUAAUUUAUGAAAUUAUAUUUUUUUCAAUUUUAUUCUCAUUCAACUUUUUAAUUUGUAAGAUUUGUUUCUCGUUAUUUUAAUAAAUUUGAGAAAAAUAAAAUAUUAAUAAGUUAUUUUCCAACUCAUUUUCCAUGACAUAACCAAACACUGGAAAGUGUUUUCCAACUUAUUUUUCAUCACACUACCAAAUAUCAGGAAAUACUUUCUCGGAAUUCACUUUUCCGAAAUUCUCUUUCCUUGGAAUUCACUUUCCAAAAAAAAAAAUUACUUUCCAGCAAAUAAACGAUGCCUUUUUAUAUAUAUAUAUAUAUAUAUAUAUAAAAGUUCAGUCUAAAAUAGGUAUUAAAAUAAUAUGAUGUUGAGCCAAAUUGAAUUUAAUAAUAAUAAUAAUAAUAAUAAUAUAAUCAGCUAGUUAAUAUUGUAUUUUUAUAUAAAAUGCAUGUUUGAGAUUGUGAUGUAAAUUUUGUUUACUUAAAAAUAUAUUAAAAUAUUUUUUAAAAUUUUUAUAUUUUCAAUAUUAACUUAUCAAAUAAUAAAAAAACAAUAAAUUUAAAAUAAUAUGAUCUUAAGUCAAAUUGAAUUUAAUAAUAAUGUUAUAAUUAGUUAAUUAAUAUUGUAUUUUAAUAUAAAAUGAAUGUAUGAUAUUAUGGUUUAAAUAUUUUUUACUUGAAAAUAUAUUAAAAUUUUAAUUUAACAAGACUGGAACUUUGUCCUUGCAGCGAAGCUUUGUUUUAUUUUUUGUUUUAUAUAUAUAUUUUUUAUAUAUAACGUUUCUACCAAGCAAAGUUGAGAACGAAUCAUUUCUUUUCAUUUAUGCUUUGUAGAUUAGUUCCUUUACUAGUCAUAUAGUCCCAUUAUAUUAGUGUUAGAGGACGGUUUGAAACAUUAGUUUAAAAAAACAUUGAUGGUGGCUAUUAAGAGCAUGUUUAUUUUUUAUUUUUAAAAAAAAUAUAUUUUUUAUUUUAAUUUAUUUUUUAUAAUUUUAAAUCAUUUUGAUAUAUUAAUACUAAAAAUAAAUUAAAAAAAAAAAAAAAUAUUAUUUUAAUAUAUUUUUUAAAUAAAAAAUAAACUCGUGGAAUUCAAUUCCACGCUAUCGACCCUGUGGUUUGGAUGGAAUUGGUCGUCGUCAUCACAUGAUUUUCCAUAUGUAAUAAAGUCUUCUUUAUUUGGCUUUUUGUCCCAUUGAUUCUUCGAGGAAAUUCCCAAGUUUUUGCUUUACAUCAAUAUUAAUUCAAUGGCUGGUAACACACAUGACUCUCGUCUCUCUGUUACGUUCUUUUUACUUUUCGCUGUGGUUUUUGAACCCUAUCCAAGGUUGAUCUGCAGCAAAUCUUGGAUUGUGGGUCAGGUGAAACUUGAGAAGGUUAUUUAUCAAGAAAUUCUCAAAUCCUACCAAUGUCAAUUCUAACUUAGCAACAUCGUCUUUUUAUUUGUUAAUAAUAUAUUUAAAUAAAAAUCAAGAUUCAAAUUAAUUUAAAUAAUAUAGUUAAAUGAAAAGAAGAUUUCAAUUAAUUUCACUCUUUCUUUCAUUUUUUUUCUUUCAAAACCUUCACCAUGCUAAUCCUUCUGAUCAGCUAUCAUGUCUCCCUUCUUUGAUAUUGUUAUCAAAUAGCAAAAGUGCAAAUAAUCAUGCUCUUGGAGAUCAAAAUUAUCCUACAAAUCAACAAUUCCAUUCAUAUAGGAUUUUAAAUUUUCUUGUUUCAAAGUUCUUGUUCAAGAUUUUAAUGAUAAAAUUGAUAAAAAAAGUGUAUAUUUGAUAUGCUAGUGACAAAAUGUAUAGGCAAUUUUUAUAAUAUAUAUGUUGGUUCUUUAAAAAAAAAAAAACAAUUAUAAUAAUCUAGAAGAUGAAAUCCCAAUCCAGUUGUGCAAGUUAGAGGAAUUGAGUUUGAUUGAUCUGUCUCAUAAUAAUUUAUAUGGUCAUAUUCUUCCAUGCCUAAAUUCUAGCAGUAAUUGGCAGAGGGAACAUGAAGCAAUUUCAAAUCCUUCUGGAAUCGCUUCAGCACUUGAAUCGGUAAUCCUAUCCCCAUGGAAGACCCUUCUCUUCAGACAUCUUUAGAUUUUAAAACAAAGAGUAUAUGCUACUCCUUCAAGGAAAUGAUUCUCACUUACCUCUCUGGUAUAGACCUCUCCUGCAAUAAUUUUAUAGGCGAGAUUCCUUUUCAACUUGGAUACCUUAGCAAUAUCGAGGUGUUGAAUAUGUCCUUUAACAGUUUAGCUGGUCCAAUCCCACUGACAUUUUCAAACCUGAAGGAAAUUGAAAGCAUGGAUCUUUCCUACAACAAUUUGAAUGGGAAAUUCCUCGUUAGCUACUUGACUUGCAUUUUCUAUCUUUUUUUAGUGUAGCAUACAAUAACUUAUCUGGCAGAACUCUAGAUAUGGUUCCACAAUUCUCAACAUUCAACGAGUCUAGCUACGAGGGAAAUCCUUUGCUUUGUGGACCAUCACUCCCCAAAAGUUGCACUGAAGUGGUACCACCAUCAGCGUUGCCAAGGACUCAGACUGAUGAAAAAGAAGACAAUGGCUUCAUAGAAAUAGAGGCUUUCUAUGUGAUAUUCUCAGUGUCAUAUAUCCUGGUCUUGUUGGUAAUAGGUGCAGUUCUGUAUAUAAACCCACGUUGACGACGAGCAUGGUUUUACUUCAUAGAGGAGAGAAUCAAUAAAUGCUAUUACUUUCUGGUAGACAAUCUACCUGUGUCAGCCAGGUUCAAAGGAUUUCAGCCUUGUGUGCAAAAUGGUAUUGGCUUUAUGUGUAUUCUGUUUGGUGUCUACAUUUCAAAAUCAUGAUUGAUCAAUAAAUUAGUCUUAUAAUAAACGGAGUAAAUAAAUGUUCAAAACACUUUGCUCUUGCAGGAAAGCUCUGCUUUUUUUUUUUCUAACGUUUCUACCAAGCAAAGUUGCAACAGAACGAAUCAUUUCUUUUGAUUAUGCUUUGUAGAUUAGUUCCUUUACUAGUCAUAUAGUCCCCACCUUCCUUGGAAUUGAGGAUUUGUUAAAACUACUUACUUUCUGAUGUUUGAAAGAGAAACGAGUUCCAGGACCCAAAGGCAUGGACAAGACAACAAUGGUUGAUUUUUGUUGUGUGCUUUGAUGAACCUUGUGGGGCCCAGUAGCAACUAGCAGCUAUAUUUGCAAGAAAAAUAGAGUUUUGUACCUUUCCAAUGGUGCAAUUCUCUUGUGCAAUUUGGAGAUUUCUGUUGCAGAUGUGUGGAAUUUGCAGACAUGUGGGUGAUUGACAAGCUGAAAUUCAUGGGACAAUGUUAAAUCUCCAGAAUAUUUUGCUUCCGAGACUUAUUUGCCAGUUGUUAUUUUGAAAUUUAUGCUAGCUUAUAUUUCUUCAAUUUAUUAUUUGAAUCAAAACAGAAUAGAUUCCAUCUGUUUUUUGAAUUCAAAUUAAACAUAAUGCUACCUAUAUAUACCACUAGAAGAAUGUGUGCAAUUCUCAUCAUUUUCCUGAUUUUAAAACCUAUAGCUAUUAUACAAUUAUCUCUGCCACUCAACUGUAUAUGGAGCUAGGAAUGAAAGAAACAGCAGAGUUCAUGAUGAGACUAGCUCCAGAAGCUCAGGUCAAAUCGUGGGAGAUUCAAAUGGUUAAAUACACACUUCAAGAUUUCAGAUUUCCACUCUUAUGAAGAAAGCUUGUUCUAAGUACUCUAAACAUGAUCUAGUCAGCAGGAACUAAUCAGUUAUUUGUUUAUUUAUUUAUAGUUUUUGUGAAUUUUCUUAGUAGGUUAUUUUUCAUAGAUGUGAAACCUAGUUUGAUCUGAUAUAUUCACUUUGAAGUCCCAUUAUAUUAGUGUUAGAUUUGUUAUUGGACGGUAUGAAACAUUAGUUUAGUCAAACUUGAACCCAUUCAUAAUAAAAAUUUUAAAAAGCAUUCACCGUGGCUAUCAAGAGCAUGUUUGUUUUUGCAUUUAAAAAAAAUAACAGAGAGACCAAUAUGCCAACAAGCUAUAAUAAUAGAACCCACGGGUUGAUUGAUCAAACCCUGACACCAAGAUCUGGGGACUGCUGAAGAACACCUUGAAAAAUCUUGCAUUUUACUCUUACUUUUUACAAGAGACAGAUGAACUGGUCAUCGCGCGCGACGUGUUCCCUACGGCCGAGAAUAAUGCAGUGGCUGUCAGUGUUGUUAGUGGUUGUGGAAAAUUACACGCUAUGACGAAGAAGAAGGUUGCUGCAUUCAUUCAUCGCUUGACCUGAUGAUGGCCCGAUGGGUCUUUCCAUGCAAUGUCUUCCCUACGGCAAAGACAGUGCGCCAUCAAUAUCAGUCUUGUUAGUGGUCGUAGAAAAUGACAUCUCAACCACACAUAAACAAGUUGCUAUUUUAACUUUAAUUUAAUAAUAAAUAAUAAAUAUGAUGGGUACAAAGGGGAGAAUAUACAUGAUAAACUUUUUUUGUUUUCCACAAUAAUAGAGACAUAGACAAAUGAAAUGGUCAUCGCAUGCAAUGUCUUUCCUACGGCAAAAACAGUGCCAUCAGUGUCAGUCUUGUUAAUGGUAGUAGAAAAUUCAAAGAGUGAGUGAAAUCCUUUGCUUUGUGGACCAAAAGCUGCAGUGAAGAUUUUUAAUCAUUUAGGUUUCACUGAUCAUUUCUUUAAUUUUGCUGUGUUUGUUUUUUAUAAAGUAAUUUUUGAAAAAUUAUUUUUUGAAAUUUUUUAUAUUUUUUGUUAUUAGAAAAAUUGGUCAAUAAAAAAUAUUUUCUGGUCAACAAAAAAUACUUUUCAGUCAAAGAAAAAUUUGACUUGGUUUUCAGGAAAGUGUUUUCCUUUUAUUUUGGGUGAAAAACACUUUCCGAAAAUUAUAAAAAAUUUUAAAAUAUCAUAUUAUUUGCUGAUUAUAUCAAAUUUGGUCAUCAAACUUUUGAUUGCUAUAUAUAUUUUGUUUUGAAUAUUUAUUUUUCAAUUUCAUCCCUUAGAAUUUAAUUUUUAUAUUAACUUUGGUCCUCAGUUUUAUAAUUGCUAUUUGAUUUUUCCUUAUCAUUUUUUAAUUAAAGUUUUUUAUCUAUCAAAUUUGGUACUCAUUCUUUUGAUUGUUACUUAUUUUAUUUGAAAUAAUUUAUGAAAUGUUAAUUAUUAUUAUUUUAAUUUCUUUAUCUUCCCAUUUUUUUUAUUUUUUAGAUUUGAUCUCUAUUAUUUUGAUUAUUAUUUAUUUUAUUUGAGAUAAUUUUUGAAAUUAUAUUUUUUUCAAUUUUAUUCUCAUUCAACUUUUUAUUUUGUAAGAUUUGUUCCUCGUUAUUUUAAUAAAUUUGAGAAAAAUAAAAUAUUAAUAAGUUAUUUUCCAGUUCAUUUUCCAUGACAAAACCAAAUACUGGAAAAUGUUUUCCAAUUUAUUUUCCAUCACACUACCAAACAUCGGGAAAUACUUUUUUGGAAUUCACUUUCCCGGAAUUCUCUUUCUUUGAAAUUCACUUUCCAAAAAAAAACUACUUUCCAGCAAAUAAACAAUGCUUAUAUAUAUAUGCUUAGAUUUCCUCAGCUUUAUAUAAGCAAAUAAACAAUGCUUAGAUUUCCUCAGCUGACUUCGAGUCAAGGCGUAGAGCUUCAAUUCCACGCAAUGGAUCCUGUGGUUUGGAUGGAAUUGGUCGUCGUCAUCACAUGAUUUUCCAUAUGUAAUAAAGUCUUCUUUAUUUGGCUUAUUGUCCCAUUGAUUCUUCGAGGAAAUUCCCAAGUUUUUGCUUUACAUCAAUAUUAAUUCAAUGGCUGGUAACACACAUGACUCUCGUCUCUCUGUUACGUUCCUUUUACUUUUCAACAUGGUUUUUAAACCCUAUCCAAGGAGCUUAUAUGACCUAACAACCACCAUUUUGAUGCCUAAUUGAUUUACAUGAUCUACAUUUAAAAGGUUAAAAAAACCAAAUCAUCUAAACCAUGCAAGUCUUGGCUUAGAGCCAGUGACUUUAUAAACAAAAUAUGAAACACAGAAAAACCAAAUCAAAGGAUGCCAAGAUGAUUUUCAUUCUCAAAUUGUGUCAUGAUGGGGCUUAGUUCUAGGAAUAAUACUGUCACUCCAUCUAUUGGACAUUGCGAGCAUCCUCUGAGAAUUAAGUUGCAUCGGUUUUCUUCUGUUAUAUGCUCCAGGUAUUGAUGCUCGUAGACGGAGAAAACAUAUGCAUAAAAAGCAUAGCUCAUGUUCUGCCAAAAUGUCAUAUAAGAUGAUUUUCAUUCUCAAAUUUCAACCUUGCCAUAUUAUUUUCUGUAUCAAGCUUGUUUUGAGUUUUGAGAGGAACUUAAUGAUCAGUCUUGUUACUGGUUGUGGAAAAUUACACGUUAUGACAAAGAAGAAGGUUGCUGCAUUCAUUCAUCGCUUGACCUGAUGAUGACUCGAUGGGCCACCUGCUAUGACAAAAGAAAAGAAAGCUGUUAACCGUGGUCAAAGCAUGUUUUUAGUUUUGAGAGGAACUUAAUGAUCAAUUAGUCAAUUGGGGCUGAAAAUUAAAAUUGAAAGAACAAGGACCAUAUUUAACAAAAAAAACUUUAGUCUACCUAAUUUGAAGUACAUACGAAUCGUUUCAAAGCUUCAGUCUAACUAACAAUUCCAGAGCAUUCACACAAAAUAAAUUCCAGAGCUACUCUGUUCAAGUUGACAUCUCCAGUUAACACGGGCUAAAUGAAAACUUUACCAUUUUCUGCCAUAUUCAACAGAUACUCCUACAAAUAACUUGCUGAAUAAACUUACGAUUUGAAGGAAGAUAUAUGAGAAAAAACUUGCUGAAUGCUGAAAGCAAAAUUGUGGAAUAAUGAUUUUUUUUCAUUACAUUGCUAUAAAGAACACAGCUUUUCAGACAUUAUUUUUACUACUGAGAUGAGAUAAGAUUGACCAUCUAACUCUUCCCUUUGAGAUGUAGAAACAAUGCAAAGUUGAGAUUUAUUUAUACCAAAGGCUUCCAAACUCUGAUCGUGAAUGGCUUAAGAAGAUUGUCCGCAACAAAGUAGUAGCAAGUGUUGAUGCUCUUCUCAAUGAAAUAAAACCAUGCUCGCCGCCAGUCUGGGUUUAUGUACAAAACUGCAGCUAUUCCCAACAACACAUGAUGUACGUCACAACAAAGCUCACACAGAAAACUUGUGCAUCAAUGAUGACACUACUCUCUUCUUUCUCAUCAGUAGAAGGCCCAGGUGGUGGUGGUGGUGGUACUUCUUUGGUACAGCUGUUAAGCAGUGGUGGUCCACAAAGUAAGGGAUUUCCCUCGUAGCUACUCUUAUUGAAUGUUGAGAAUUGUGCAACCAUCUCAGGAGCCUUACCAGACAGGUUAUUGUUGGCUACACUAAAAUAGGCAAGAAAAUGCAAUUGUACAAGUUGAGGAGGGAUUUCCCCAUUCAAGCUGUUAUUGGAAAGGUCCAUGCUCUCAACUUCACUCAAAUUUGAAAGAGUUUGUGGGAUUGAGCCUCUUAAAUGAUUGUUGGACAGGUUCAAUACACGAAUGUGGUGGAUAUUCCAAAUUUCAGGAGGAAUCGCACCUGACAAACUGUUGCAGGAGAGAUCCAAUCCGGUCAUGUAGUACAAAAUACUUGGCGGAUAAGAAUAAGACAGACUCUUUGUUGCAAUAACCAAUGGUUCUCGAAGAUUACUGAACCAAAAAACGCUUUUAAAUCUUAGGCAAGGUAGAAUAUGACCAGAAAAAGUUUUAUGAGAAAGAUCAAUGAACAUUAAUUUGUUCAACUUGCACAAUUGCGUGGGUAUACUGCCAUCAAGAUUAUUAUAACCCAAGAGAAGAAAGCUUAGUUGGGAAAACUCACCAAUCCAUUUUGGAAUGCUACCAGUCAAAUGAUUAUGGCUAAGAUCCAACGUUAUUAGCUCCAAGGAUUUCUGAAAUGCAUGUUCUAGGGAUCCUUGUAGCAUAUUUCGUGACAGAUAAACAUGCAAGAGGUGUGAAGAGUUAAAGAAAGAUGGUAAGGUUCUAGAGAUGUUGUUAUUUGAGAGGUCCAAAACUUGAAGAUACAACAGAAAGUCAAAUGAAGAGGGAACGCGACCACUGAAGUGGUUAUCAGACAUGUUUAAAAAUGUUAAACUUGGAAAAUAUGAUCCUAUGUCUCUAGGAAUGUGGCUUUCGAAGUUAUUGUUAGAAAUAUCUAAUUCAGACAAAUUCUGAUGAGGAUGAAUUGGCAAUUGAAAAGUCCCUGAAAGAGAAUUGUUGACCAAAUGGAGUUCAUUUAGGUUUGUGUUGUUCUCUAACAACCAAAUAGGAAACCCUCCCCUCAAUUUCAGGUUAGAAAAAUGAAUUUCUUGGAGGCUGUAUUGAUGGAGGAGGAAUUUGGGAAAGGAAAAUGCUCCACCAUAUCCAUUGCCAGAUAAACUAAGAGGCUCUACUUGGAACUUUAGGGCCAAAUUAUGCCCCUCAAAUUCUUCAACAUAUAUUUCGUUAUUGCUACCAUUGAAAUACUUGAGUUGUGAAUGGUUGAGAAAUGAGCUCAAUGAGACGGGAUCUGAAAGUGGUUGUCUGAAAGUGAUAACUCUCGGAUGGAUGUGAGACUUGUAAGAGGAGAGAAGGAAAUGUUCCAAUAAAGUUAUUGAAGACAAUAUAAUCCUUGAAGGGAUGUCAAAUUUGCCAAACACCAAGGGCAAAGCACCACUGAGAUCAUUCCCGCUGAUAUCUAGAUUUUGGAGAUGCUUUAACUGACAUAUGGCCUGAGAAUUUAUUGAUUCAAAAAUUUUAGUCAGAGAAGAAGCAGAACGCCUAAGGAGGGAAAGGUGGUCAGACUUACCUUGGGCUUUAGGGAUGGAGCCAUUGAGUCGACACCUCAAGCUUAAACUCUUUAGAGUAGUAAUCUUCCCGACUUUGCAGAAAGCUAUUAUCGACAGUGGAGGAAACUCAAAUCCAACUCUUCUAAAUUCUUGAGAGAAGCCAAGUCUACAAUAAUCAAACCCACAAGAAAUUAUGUUCGGUAUUCAAGAGCCGGAUAAUGAUAAGGAAACAAGAUUAUGAAACCAACAAGAAGCUCCAUUAUAAUGUCCCUGCUACAAUCAAUUAAAUUGCUAUAACUAGGAAAAUAUGAUUUAAAGCACGUUUACAAAGAAAAAAAGAACAAUUAACAGAUAUUUAGGAUCGCUUUUAGGCAUCAGUACCACAAAUUACCUUUAUCUAAUGUUGUUCCGAAACUUCCUUCAAGAUUAUUCUCAGCCAAAGAAAGGGUCCUGAGGUUUGGGAAUUUCGUCAACGAUUGCAGCAAUGUAAAUGGAAGAGCUCUUCCAUUUGAGGUGCUAUUAGAUAAUGAAAUGCGGCUUACAUUUUCAAAACCUCUAGUAUCUAUAGGGGACAGCAGAAGUAAAACAAGUUUUAAAACCUUCUGAGCUUUUAUUCCAGAGCAAAAUCAUCCUCGAAAAUACAAUUCAAUUAAUGAGAUUUUAGGUUGAUCAAGAGGUAAAGCUACCAUCAAUCCGUGUGGAAAGCAAUCAAUACCUUUGGAAAACACAAAUUUGUCAAUCUCGUUUCCCGCUAGAUCCAGGCUCUCUAAGUUGAUCAAAGCAUCCAGUUCUAGGUUGUCGGAAAACAGAAAUUUAAUAUUACGUCACAACAAAAAUCACAUAUUGGUUUCUAGGAAUCGAAAAAGGUGAGGUUACCAGUCACAUUGAAUGAUCCUUUCAGUUGGUUGUACGCUAUAUCCAGGUAUUUAAGAGAUGAAAGACCCUUGAGGGAUGAUAAGGUACUAUCAUUGAAGCGAUUACCAUUCAAACCAAGUUCUUCCAGAUUUCUUAACCUCGGUAAGUCGUCACCAGUACCUAUAAAAAUACCAUAAGCUUUCAUGUAACCUGAAAGGAUAAUGGAGUACUUAUGUGUGAAAACAAAUGCUCAGUCAACUCACAACUCUUUCAUACCAUGAAUGGAUUUAAAGCUUUCAAUUUCAUUGCCACCAAACUCCAACCACCACAAGCUUGUUAGAUUAUUCAGUUCUGGCCAAAUAUAAUUGUACCAAGUACAACAAUUAAAAAAAGGGCAGUAAUUAACAUGGCUUUAUUUGAGAAAGAAAAGGAGAGAAGUGAUCAAGCUUAAUUACCAUCAACACUAAUUGCUCCUUUGAGUUGGUUACCAUAUAGAUACAGGGUUCUCAAAGAGGAAAGCCGACCAAGGGAUGAAAGGAUGCUGUUGUCGAAUUUGUUUUCGGCUAAAUCGAGAACCUCCAAGCUGUCAAGUCCUGAUAGUCUUUCAAAACUUGCAUGGGCAUUUCAAUCAGUAGCUUGAAAAAUAUAGAAUCUAUUCUUUUCUUUUUUUCCUGUUGAAAUUGCAUUAGCACGCAAACAAGAGAUAAACCUUCAUUCUCAACACAGCCAACUAUAAAAUUUCCACUUAAAUCAAGAGAUUGCAGUUCUUGGAAGGGACGAAACAAAGAGACAUUUAGGUACAAAUCUCCCAAUCCCUCUUCCCUUAUGCGUGAAAGAUCAAGUACGACAACUCGUCCUGUAGUGAAAUUGCAGUGAACGCGUUCCCAAGUACAACAGUCGGCUCCUUUUCCCCAAGAUUGAAGGAAGAUUGAGUAAUUAAAGGAGCUUUUAAUCCGCAAGAGAGCACUUCUCUCUUCGUCUAAACAGCCGUGACAUGACCACCAGCUUUCUGACAAAACCAUAGCAUAAAUCAUCAGUGUCCCUGCUAAAGAAGAGAACCUGUUUAAACCCAUAUGCACUUCUCUCUUAUGUACCGAUAUUUUUUAUUGUCAUUCCAAGGCAAAGUGAAAAGUAAAAGGAACGUAAUAGAGGGGGGCAAUAUGCAUGAUGACGGAAUUUCCUGGCACUAUGGAUGAUGAUCUUUCUGCUGUGUUCUCUCUUCCUCCAAACACAAAUGGCACCACCACCCUGGUAAUAAAACCAUGAAGAUCAGCUUUAUCACUACUACAGAGAACCUGCUUAACCCAUUUGAAAUACUUGAUGAAUUAAAUUGUAUUCCACUGGCUUUGUACAAGCUGCUCUUUAUACUAUAAGACGAAUCAACACACUCGAUCUUAUGAUUGUUGUUGCUGUAGUAGCAGAUCGAUUUAAUUUACUGUUGUCUUUUACAAUGAAAACGUUGAGAAAGUGUUCGUUCAUGAAUUGUAAUAAACAGCCCACUUGUAUGGCACUGGAAUUCAAUUCCACGCUAUCGAUCCUGUGGUUUGGAUGGAAUUGGUCGUCGUCAUCACAUGAUUUUCCAUAUGUAAUAAAGUCUCCUUUAUUUGGCUUAUUGUCCCAUUGAUUCUUCGAGGAAAUUCCCAAGUUUUUGCUUUACAUCAAUAUUAAUUCAAUGGCUGGUAACACACAUGACUCUCGUCUCUCUGUUUCGUUCCUUUUACUUUUCACCAUGGUUUUUGAACCCUAUCCAAGGUUGAUCUGGAGCAAAUCCUGGAUUGUGGGUUAGGUGAAACUUGAGAAGGUUAUUUAUCAAGAAAUUCUCAAAUCCUACCAAUGUCUAUUCUAACUUAGCAACAUCGUCUUUUUAUUUGUUAAUAAUAUAUUUAAAUACAAAACAAGAUUCAAAUUAAUUUAAAUAAUAUAGUUAAAUGAAAACAAGAUUUCAAUUAAUUUCACUCUUUCUUUCAUUUUUAUUUUCAAAACCUUCACCAUUCUAAUCCUUCUCAGCUAUCAUGUCUCCCUUCUUUGAUAUUGUUAUCAAAUAGCAAAAGUGCAAAUAAUCAUGCUCUUGGAGAUAUCAAAAUUAUCCUACAAAUCAACAAUUCCAUUCAUAUAGGAUUUUAAAUUUUCUUGUUUCAAGAUUUGUUAGAUUAGUGUUAGAUUUGUUAUUGGACGGUAUGAAACAUUAGUUUAGUCAAACUUGAACCGAUUCAUAAUAAAAUUUUUAAAAAGCAUUCACUGUGGCUAUUAAAAACAUGUUUGUUUUUGUAUUUUUUUUUUUUAAAAAAACAGAGAGACCAAUUUGCCAACAAGCUAUAAUAAUAGAACCCACAGGUUGAUUGAUGAAACCCUGACCCCAAGAUCUGGGGACAGCUGAAGAACACCUUGAAAAAUCUUGCAUUUUACUCAUACUUUUUACAAGAGACAAAUGAACUGGUCAUCACGCGCGACAUGUUCCCUACGGCUGAAAAUUGGAUUUCAAUAAAUAUCUUCCCUUAUAUAGUAAUAACAACAACUAAAACAUAUAUAACAUUCACUAUUUUAAAAAAUAGUUAUUAUGGAUUGCGUUGUUUAUUUUGAAUAAUGAUUCUUUUCCAGAGCAUUCACACAAAAUAAAUUCCAGAGCUACUCUGUUACAAUUGACAUUUCCUCGAAUUAUAACACGGGGUAAAUGAAAACUUUUCCAUUUUCUGCCUUGUUCAACAGAUACUCCUACAAAUAAACUACACUAAGUUGCAUGCCUUGGGUUUGUCUUAGGUAUAUCCAAACUACAUUUAUUUAUACCAAAGGCUUCCAAACUCUGAUUCUGAAUGGCUUAAGAAGAUUGUCCGCAACAAAGUAGUAGCAAGUGUUGAUGCUCUUCUCAAUGAAAUAAAACCAUGCUCGCCGCCAGUCUGGGUCUACGUACAAAACUGCAGCUAUUCCCAAUAGCACCAUGAUGUACGUCAAAACAAAGCUCACACAGAAAACUUGUGCAUCAAUGAUGACGCUACUCUCUUCUUUCUCAUCAGUAGAAGGCCCAGGUGGUGGUACUUCUUUGGUGCAGCUGUUAAGCAGUGGUGGUCCACAAAGUAAGGGAUUUCCCUCGUAGCUGCUCUUAUCGAAUGUUGAGAAUGCUGCAACCAUCUCAGGAGUCUUACCAAAGAGGUUAUUGUUGGCUACAGUAAAAUAGACAAGAUAAUGCAAUUGUACAAGUUGAGGAGGGAUUUCCCCAUUCAAACUGUUAUUGGAAAG
rnacentral:lncRNA from 1 species